rnacentral:tRNA from 1 species
UCCCUGGUGGUCCAGUGGUUAGGACUCCAAGCUUCCAAUGCCGGAGACUCAAGUUCGAUCCCUGCUUGGGGAA